UCCUGUGACUUCUCUUACGCGUGGGAAGCCUUAGGGUGAUGCCUGGGAAGCCGUAGGGUGAUCUCUUAGCUUACAUCAACAUCUAUUCAACUUAGUGGAUCUUAAUGCUAUGAAUCUGGGGUAGUUCUCCUGCUAGUAGGAUGGGGCCCACCCACAGCCUGUGUGCCCAGCACCCUCCGGCCCCUUUUCCAGCGUGAUUCAACAUUGGGAAUGCUGGGAAGGCAAUGGCAGGUGGCUGAAUGCGGAGUUGAAGAGAGCGAUAACCACUUAGACCCCACCACCUCUUUGGGGAGGCUGGGCGGAGCCAGCCUGAGAGGGGUCAGUCGGGAAGCAGAAAUCAUUGCCUCCGGAAUUAGCUACAUAGGAUUGCUUUUCAUUCGGAUCGAUUGAAGAAUGGGGCAGCUGCCCAGGUGUGCUGGCCCCUUUCAUGUUCACAUCAAAUGCUACUGCAUCUACAGCCUUGUCCAGGAAGCACCCUUCCUGGGCCAGCAGAAUGAUCUUCACCUGGCAAGCCUGCAGACCCUGAGGCCCACCCGAGUCCCGCGGAAGCACUCAUCACCUUAACUACAAAGCUUGAGGGCUCGCAGCGACAUGAAAGGCAGAAAGCCUGAUCCAUGGAGAGCUCCGACCCCCUAAGUAGGGCUGGCCACAGGGAUGCUGGGAGGGAGCACCUGGCAGGCAUUGCGUCCCACUGUGAGGUGUUGGAGAGGGCUGGGCCCAGUGUACCUCCUACAGGUGCCGCCUCUUAGGAAGCCACAGGGACAGAUGGAUUAUUACUUUCAGUGUUUCACUUACACCUGCCCACGUAGGGACCCAUGACAACAGCUCGUGCGUUGGCAAUGCUGCCAGGGAGAUCUGAGGAGUCCCUUUUCCUCAGAGUCAUGAGAAAUGAAGCAGCGAGGGGGACACAGUCCCUUCCCUGGUGGCCUUUUCUCACCCUUGUUGAAGGGAUGGUCUCUUCUCUUUCUGAAGGGGCUCUUCCAGAAAUGUCCCCUCCCCAGGAAUGCAAAAUAGCAGCUGCCCAGAAGUGGUGCCAACUGGAGAAUGGGCCUGACGAACCUGCCCAAUAUGGAGUUCUGGGAGUCCGUGCAAAUCACUCGGCAAGUCUCCUGCACCUGCCUCCUGGAUGCAGAGGGUGUCGGCCAGCUGCUACUGUCCAUGAAUUCUUAGCUGCCCUAGCAACUCUAA